rnacentral:rRNA from 1 species
CCUUGCCAGCCCGCUCAAGAACUCAAAGGAAUUGACGGGGCCCGCACAAGCGUGGAGCAUGUGGUUUAAUUCGAUGAUACGCGAGGAACCUUACCUGGGCUCAAAUGUAUGUUGACGUAUUCUGAAAGGGAUACUUCUUCGGACAAUAUACAAGGUGCUGCAUGGUUGUCGUCAGCUCGUGCCGUGAGGUGUCGGGUUAAGUCCCAUAACGAGCGCAACCCUAUCAUUAGUUGCCAUCAGGUCAAGCUGGGGACUCUAAUGAAACUGCCUACGCAAGUAGUGAGGAAGGUGGGGAUGACGUCAAAUCAGCACGGCCCUUACGUCCGGGGCGACACACGUGUUACAAUGGGUGGUACAAAGGGCAGCUACCUGGCGACAGGAUGCUAAUCUCGAAAACCGCUCUCAGUUCGGAUCGGAGUCUGCAACUCGACUCCGUGAAGCUGGAUUCGCUAGUAAUCGCGCAUCAGCCACGGCGCGGUGAAUACGUUCCCGGGCCUU